AUUGAACGCUGGCGGCAGGCUUAACACAUGCAAGUCGAGCGAGGGAAGGUAGCUUGCUACCGGACCUAGCGGCGGACGGGUGAGUAAUGCUUAGGAAUCUGCCUAUUAGUGGGGGACAACAUCUCGAAAGGGAUGCUAAUACCGCAUACGUCCUACGGGAGAAAGCAGGGGAUCUUCGGACCUUGCGCUAAUAGAUGAGCCUAAGUCGGAUUAGCUAGUUGGUGGGGUAAAGGCCUACCAAGGCGACGAUCUGUAGCGGGUCUGAGAGGAUGAUCCGCCACACUGGGACUGAGACACGGCCCAGACUCCUACGGGAGGCAGCAGUGGGGAACAUUGGACAAUGGGGGGAACCCUGAUCCAGCCAUGCCGCGUGUGUGAAGAAGGCCUUAUGGUUGUAAAGCACUUUAAGCGAGGAGGAGGCUACUUUAGUUAAUACCUAGAGAUAGUGGACGUUACUCGCAGAAUAAGCACCGGCUAACUCUGUGCCAGCCGCCGCAGUAA
rnacentral:rRNA from 1 species